rnacentral:rRNA from 1 species
AACGAACGCUGGCGGCAUGCCUAACACAUGCAAGUCGAACGAGACCUUCGGGUCUAGUGGCGCACGGGUGCGUAACGCGUGGGAACCUGCCCUUAGGUUCGGAAUAACUCCCCGAAAGGGGUGCUAAUACCGGAUAAUGUCUUCGGACCAAAGAUUUAUCGGCUUUGGAUGGGCCCGCGUUGGAUUAGCUAGUUGGUAGGGUAAAAGCCUACCAAGGCGACGAUCCAUAGCUGGUCGGAGAGGAUGAUCAGCCACACUGGGACUGAGACACGGCCCAGACUCCUACGGGAGGCAGCAGUGGGGAAUAUUGGACAAUGGGCGAAAGCCUGAUCCAGCAAUGCCGCGUGAGUGAUGAAGGCCUUAGGGUUGUAAAGCUCUUUUACCCGGGAUGAUAAUGACAGUACCGGGAGAAUAAGCUCCGGCUAACUCCGUG